rnacentral:tRNA from 1 species
GGAGAGGUGGCCGAGUGGUCGAAGGCGGCGGACUCGAAAUCCGCUGUAGGCGUUCGUCUACCGUGGGUUCGAAUCCCACCCUCUCCGCCA